AUUGAACGCUGGCGGCAGGCCUAACACAUGCAAGUCGAACGAGUGGCGGACGGGUGAGUAAUGUCUGGGAAACUGCCCGAUGGAGGGGGAUAACUACUGGAAACGGUAGCUAAUACCGCAUACCAUCGGAUGUGCCCAGAUGGGAGUAGCUAGUAGGUGGGGUAACGGCUCACCUAGGCGACGAUCCCUAGCUGGUCUGAGAGGGUGACCAGCCACACUGGAACUGAGACACGGGCCCAACGCCUACGGGAGGCAGCAGGGGGGGAUAUUGGACAAUGGGCGCAAGCCUGAUGCAGCCGUGCCGCGUGUAUGAAGAAGGCCUUCGGGUUUUAAAGGACUUUUAGCGAGGAGGCGUUACUCGCAGAAGAAGCACCGGCUAACUCCGUGCCAGCAGCCGCGGUAAUUC
rnacentral:rRNA from 1 species